UUAUCCCGGCAUCAGUACCUUGUGGUUUAUGUGAUCGUGCUUUUUAUAUAAGUAUUGUUAUAAUUUUUCAAUAUUUUACAUUGUUAUUCAUGCAUCACGAUUAUUUUUCUGGAAUACUAUAACGUUACGAUUAAAAUUUGAUCAUUAUGAAUAUUAUAAAAUUAAAACUAUUAGUUUCAAAUAAGUACUACUGUCCAACUUUAUUGUGCAACUUACAAAAAUUUAAUUAUCAUACAGUUUCUCCAUUUCUCAAUUACUCCAAAUUAUCUGAUAAUCGAUUAUUCAAACACUGCAUUAAGCCACUGUAUCCAUAUAGUUUCAAAAGUAUACACACAAGCAAUUAUUUGAAAAAUAAGAAAGAUUUUUACAACAUAUUAGGAGUUCCAAAAAAUGCUUCCCAAAAAGAUAUAAAAAAAGCUUAUUACCAACUUGCAAAGAAGUUCCAUCCAGAUACGAAUAAAGGAGAUCCAAGUGCAAAUAAAAAAUUUCAAGAAGUUUCUGAAGCAUAUGAAGUGUUGGGAGAUGAGAAAAAAAGAACUGCAUAUGAUACAUGGGGAUCUACUGGCAACACAAAUAAUAUGGGUGGUGGAGCAGGAAUGGGAAAUGAAAAUUUCCAAAAUGCAUGGAGUUUUCAGUCCAAUGUAGAUGCUGAAGAAUUAUUUAGAAAAAUUUUUAAUCAAAGUGGUUUUGGAUCUAGUGGAUCAUUUGAAGAAGAUUUUGCGGAUUCAAAAUUCGGUUUUGGAGCUGCCGAAGAAAUUGUUGUUAAAAUAACAUUUGAACAAGCUGCUCGAGGUGUAAAUAAAGAUUUAAAUAUUAAUGUUGUCGACAUUUGUCCAAAAUGUCGUGGUUCACGUAGUGAGCUAGGAUAUAAAGCUACAACAUGUACUCAUUGCAAUGGAACUGGAAUGGAAACAAUAUCAAGAGGUCCUUUUUUAAUGAAAUCAACAUGUAGACAAUGUCAAGGAACUAGAGUUGUAAUAAAAAAUCCAUGUUUGGAAUGCCAUGGUAAAGGAAGUACUGUACAACGCAAAAAAGUAACAGUUCCAGUGCCUGCAGGAAUUGAAGAUGGUCAAACUAUUCGAAUUUUGGUUAAUAGAAAUGAAGUUUUUGUUACAUUCAAAGUUGAAAAAUCGGAUUAUUUCCGUAGAGAUGGAUCGGAUAUUCACACUGAUGCUAAAAUUUCGAUAUCACAAGCUUUAUUAGGCGGAUCUAUUAGAGUUAGAGGAAUUUAUGAAGAUCACACGGUGCAGAUUUCUCCUGGAACUAGUUCACAUACAAAAAUUAGAUUAAAUAAACAAGGAAUGAAGAAAAUGAAUUCUAAUCAACAUGGUGAUCAUUAUGUAAAUAUUAAGAUAGAAGUACCUAAUUCAUUAACUAGUAAACAGGAAGCGUUAAUUCAAGCUUAUGCAGAACUUGAAAAAAAUACACCUGGAACAAUAAGAAACAUAACUUAUAAGAAAGAUGGGCCAUCAGCUGAACAAACACAAUCAACCCAAACAGCUGAUAAAGGGAUUUUUUCAAAAAUAAAAAAAGCAUUGAUGGGAUAGUGGUUCUUGGUUUAAUUUUACAUAAUGAAAUCCAUUUUACCAACUCAAACUUAAAAGUAGCAAAUCAUUCGACCAUGAAUCUUCUGAAGCAAAAAUGUUAGGUACUUUACGUUCAAUCUUAGGAAAAGAAAAUGAUUAAAUAUGUA